rnacentral:rRNA from 1 species
GACGAACGCUGGCGGCGUGCCUAAUACAUGCAAGUAGGACGCAGUUGCGAACGGGUGUGUAACGCGUAGGUAUCUACCUAUUAGAGGGGGAUAACAAUUGGAAACGAUAGCUAAUACCGCAUACUAGUAGAUGGAUCUGCGGUGUAUUAGGUAGUUGGUAGGGUAAUGGCAUACCAAGGCAACGAUACAUAGCCGAGCUGGGGGGGGUAACGGCCCCAAUUGGACUGAGGCACGGGCCAGACUCCUUCGGGAGGGCACAGUAGGGAAUCUUGGGGAAAGGGGGGAAACCUGAACGAGCAAAGCCGGGGUAGUGGAGGAGGUUUUCGGAUCGUAAAGGUCUUUUGUUAAGGGAGCGGUACUUAACCAGAAAGGGACGGCUAACUACGUGCCAGCAGCCGCGGUAAUAC